rnacentral:rRNA from 1 species
AAGCAGCCACCUUUAAGAAAGCGUUAAAGCUUCAUUAUCUUAACCAAAAAUUCCACCACCCAAACUAAACCCUUAGACUUAUACUGAAUGACUUCAUAUUAUUAUGAAGAACUAUAUGUUAGAACUAGUAACAAGAAGUAGACCUUCUCCAAAAAUGUAAGCUUGAGCCAUAAUGAACCCCUCACUGGCAUUUAAAGUAUAAAUUCUACUAGUAGUAACUUCAACAAGAAAACCCUACUUAAUUAUACGUCAAUCUUACACCAGUACAUUCCUGGAAAGAUUAAAAGAGUGGGAAGGAACUCGGCAAAUAAUUAACCCCGCCUGUUUACCAAAAACAUCGCCUCUUGACCCCCAUAAGAGGUCCAGCCUGCCCAGUGACCAAGUUAAACGGCCGCGGUACCCUAACCGUGCAAAGGUAGCGCAAUCACUUGUUCUUUAAAUGAGGACUAGUAUGAACGGCAUCACGAGGGUUACACUGUCUCCCCACUCCACUCAGUGAAACUGAUCCCCCCGUGAAGAAGCGGGGAUAAAAAUAUAAGACGAGAAGACCCCAUGGAGCUUUAAACUCAGUAUCAUCUGCUACUACAAUAACCAAGUAACAACGCAACAAUGACAACUGGUUUUUGGUUGGGGUGACCGCGGAGUAAAACAAAACCUCCACAACGAAAGGAACUAACAACCUAAUCUAAGAGCGACAGCUCUAAGAAUCAUAUAAAUUGACUUAAUUGAUCCAAUCACUUGAUCAACGAACCAAGUUACCCUGGGGAUAACAGCGCAAUCCAUUUAAAGAGCCCAUAUCGACAAAUGGGUUUACGACCUCGAUGUUGGAUCAGGGUAUCCCAGUGGCGCAGCAGCUACUAACGGUUC